rnacentral:misc_RNA from 1 species
GAAAUGCGAUAAGUAAUGUGAAUUGCAGAAUUCAGUGAAUCAUCGAAUCUUUGAACGCAUCUUGCGCUCCUUGGUAUUCCUUGGAGCAUGCCUGUUUGAGUAUCAUGAAAUCUUCAAAGUAAAUCUUUUGUUAACUCAAUUGGUUUCUACUUUGGUAUUGGAGGUCUUAGCAGCUUCACACCUGCUCCUCUUUGUUCAUUAGCUGGAUCUCAGUGUUAUGCUUGGUUCCACUCGGCGUGAUAAGUUAUCUAUCGCUGAGGACACUGUAAAAGGUGGCCAAGGUAAAUGCAGAUGAACCGCUUCUAAUAGUCCAUUGACUUGGACAAUACUUUUAUGAUCUGAUCUCAAAUCAGGUAGGACUACCCGCUGAACUUAAGC